rnacentral:rRNA from 1 species
UACAUGUGGGGCAAGCGUUGUUCGGAAUUACUGGGCAUAAAGGGUGCGUAGGCGGCUUGUUAAGUCAGGGGUGAAAGUUUUCGGCCCAACCGGAAAAUGGCCUUUGAUACUGGCGAGCUUGAGUGCGUGAGGGGUAACCGGAACGAGUCGUGUAGCGGUGAAAUGCGUAGAUAUGACUCGGAAGCCAAAGGCGAAGGCAGGUUACUGGUACGCAACUGACGCUGAGGCACGAAAAGCGUGGGGAGCAAACAGG